rnacentral:lncRNA from 1 species
GCCAAUUGAUAGUGUAGAAUAACCCCAGGGAUUAGCCCGAAGAACUACUACCACCAAUUGACAAUCUGAUAGAAGGAUUUACACCUUUAUAUAUCAAGUUACAUUUUUUAUAAUUUUCGAUGUGGGAAUUACAGUUAUCAUAUCAGAUUUUGGCCCACUUUUGGUUUUAGGUCUCUAUCACCACGAUGUUACCCCAAUCUUUCAAAUCAUAAUAUGCUGCUUUCUUCUUGAGAUGCCAACGAGUUAGGCUCAAAAUCUAGACAUGCGUGUUUUCUAUAUUUUAAGUUGAAUCUUCUGAACUCCACAUCAUUAGGUUAAGCCAAAACCCGAUCUCUGUUCAUAGUCUUUUUCUCAAUUAUAAUUCUCUUUACUAAAUUUUAAGCUAUUCUUGAAUUUAAGAUUAUUUAUUUAUCCUAAAAGUGUUUGCUUCUUUCAAAUAACAGUUGACAUGAACUUUGUCUUAUGAUCAGGAUGAGAGGGAAGCAUUGCGUCCAAACACUGAUCGAUGUUGUAUGUUAUAUACUCUGCAUAGCUAAAGUGUUGUUCAUUUGCUUAUCAUGGUGAUCUAUCUGGAUGAAGUUGGAAAUCGAUGUUCAUUUAGUGCAGUUAAAAGGUAACAACCAGAAGGAUCAUGCUCUAUGGACCAUAAAAGAUACUAUUAAUUCGUUUAAUUAAUAGGCUGAUACUCACAAUUCCCAUAAUACCUUGCAUCACAAACAACACAAGUUUCCUUCCAUUCCAAGCUACCGUAACAGCAUAGAUUACAUUUUGAUCUCCCAUUUUGUCAUAGCAAGAACUAAGAUCACAGCCUUAGUUGAAGAGUUGAAGCACAGGAGGUGACUACAACAAAGCCAUUACAGAUUCAAAGCUAUCUGCUAAAACCCUAGUAGCAAAAAAAAAAACAAUUAAAAAUAAACAAUCUACCGUAUCAUUUUUUGAAUGAAUAAAUAAAAUAAAAACCUCAUCUUAUCUGUCUGAAAAAUUACACAUCUGUCAAAACGCCGAGAACUAAACUAAACUACAAUCCUCUAAUAACAAAAUUUUCUUCUCAUUUUGUGUUCAUAUCACAAUCUCAUUUUGUGUAUACCGAUGUUUUGUUAAAGAAGAUUAAACAUUGGUCUCUCUCUCUUUCCCCCCCUUAGAGGUAUUGUGUUUGUAUUCUGUCUCUGUUCUGCUCCCACCAUGUCUUAGCAUGCACUUCCCCAAACCGUUCUCGACUACAAACAUAAAGAGAUCGGUUACUUGCUUAUCAAGUUACUAACUAAAAGAGAUUAGUUUACCUGAAUCUGACACGGCGUAACUCUCUGGUUCCAUCAGGUAACUGUCUGAUGGUAAUGUGAACCCCAGGCUCGUCUUCUUCGACCCACUCGGCUUGCAUUUCACUAGCGUUACUGAUAGAAG